GUCCUAGCGGUAAACGAUGGAUACUAGGUGUCGGGGGUAUCGACCCCCUCGGUGCCGAAGCUAACGCAUUAAGUAUCCCGCCUGGGGAGUACGACCGCAAGGUUGAAACUCAAAGAAAUUGACGGGGGCCCGCACAAGCGGUGGAGUAUGUGGUUUAAUUCGAGGCAACGCGAAGAACCUUACCUGGGCUUGACAUGUUUGAGACCGCUGGUGAAAGCCAGCUUUCCCUUCGGGGACUCUUGCACAGGUGCUGCAUGGCUGUCGU
rnacentral:rRNA from 1 species